GGGGGCGUAAUGGUUUCGACGGGGGAAAAGGUGGGUUGAGUAGCGAGCCGAGUUGUCGCCAGCUCGAUAAAAAGGCGAAACCUUAAAGUAACUGCAGAAGAUAAUUUUGCACUAGCCGCUUAAUGCGGCUCGUCCGGCCAGGUUUCCUAACGGCUUGGUGCAGGGCGUCACUUAGUUAGGGUACCCUGAAGUCUUCUUUCUCGAGGGGCUUUAAGGGGAAACUUAUCGGGGAUAGCUCGAAGAAGCCUGUUC
rnacentral:tmRNA from 1 species